rnacentral:rRNA from 1 species
CCUACGGGGGGCAGCAGUGAGGAAUAUUGGUCAAUGGGAGAGAUCCUGAACCAGCCAAUCCUCUUUCUUUCCGACGGCCCUAUGGGUUGUAAACCUCUUUUGUCGGAGAACAAAACCCGGGACGUGUCCCGGACUGCGUGUAUCCGAAGAAAAAGCAUCGGCUAACUCCGUGCCAGCAGCCGCGGUAAUACGGAGGAUGCGAGCGUUAUCCGGAUUUAUUGGGUUUAAAGGGUGCGUAGGCGGUCCGUUAAGUCAGCGGUAAAAUUGCGGGGCUCAACCCCGUCGAGCCGUUGAAA